rnacentral:misc_RNA from 1 species
AAAAAAACAAAGAUGGCCGACCGAGAUGGUCGGCUAUCGCCUGCUUGUCUUGAUGAUUUGGAGGACGAGUCUUUGGAUCCAAGAAUUCAGGGAGAAUUGGAGAGAUUGAACAAGGCGUCUGAAGAAAUAAACAAGCUAGAACUGGAACUUGAUGAUGCUAGAGCCAGUUUCAGGCAAGCUCUCACAGAUUCCACACACCAACUCAAUUCUUUAGCCAAAAAGCUUGGCUCCGUUGUGGAAAAGGCUCGACCAUACUAUGAUGCCAGGAUGAAAGCAAAGGAGGCUCACAUUGAGACCCAGAAGGCAGCUUUGCGGUUUGAGCGAGCAUGCAGUAUGCACGAGGCAGCUAAGGAGAUGGUGCAGCUAGCGGAGCAGGGCUACAACUGUAGGGAGGAACCGUCGGACCCUGCCUGGCAGGAGAUGCUGAACCAUGCUACAAUGAAGGUCCUACAUAUCUACAGUGACAGUCAUCAGUCUAGUUCUUUAUAGAUGGUUUAAUCUUGAAUAAUCAUGUUUCAUCCGUAUUUGAUUACUAAUCCAUUAGGCCUACUGCCUUGUAAUUACAUGUCUUCUAGUUUGGAAAAUUGUAAGAAAUGUAAAGUGUGUUUUGAGCCGAACAAGUAUUGACUGUGCACUUUUCAAUUUCUUGCCACUUUUAAGAUUCAGUCUCUUUGAAAGUAAAUGGUUUAAGAAUAAAGUGCAUUGAUUUACUAUUAGAUUAUUAGAGGAGAGAGUUGUUAAUUUAUGAGAGGCAGUUUUCAUACAAUGAAGGUGAUAUUAUUUACAGGUGAAUGAGGCAGAGAAGGAGAGGAAUGAAAGUGAACAAGAUCACAGGCACAUAAUGAUAAAGUUUCAGGACUGUGAGGAAGUCGUACAUCACCUGCAGAGGGAGCUCAAGAGAGCCAUUGCCAAAUCUAAGUAAGUCAAACAACACCCUCUACCCUUGUUUUUUGUAGGUUGUUUUAAAUCACCACACAAAUACAUUUUUUCCCCAUGCAUUAUGAUAACAAUGGGUACCCAUAAAUUUCUUUUUUUUUGGACAAAAACCUGUCUGACAUCACUGUCAUUUAACAUUAUAUCCAGUGCAUUUUGGUUGUUAUUGUCACACCUGAUUGACUUUGUUUAUUUUUAAGUGGAAUGUUUGUUGCAGACCAUCUGGUAAUGGACUUGCAUGAUUUUUUUGGCUGUGAUCUCUAAAGCUACAUUGUUUAAUGGCCAGAUCCAAGUGUUUCAGCAUAAUGAUAUGGACAGUUAUAUUGUGGUCUUGGAUCAUUUCUAUUUAUUUUCCAAUGCUUUGAUACUAGUCAAUGAAAGAUGCAUAUUUUUUGGGCUGUAAGAUUUUGUUCUAUCACUAACCCUGUUUUCUGACCUGGCCAAACAAAUGAUUUUUUUUUUCUGUGUCAGAUUUUUUUCCCUGAAAUUUUCUUGACUUGGCUUUUAACUCUUCGGUAACAUGCUUUGUACUUAUUUCUGCUCAUAGUUUUUCCACUCGUCGAAGUUUCCUCCAGAUGAGUGAUAUAGUAAACCGAUAUCAUUUAACAAUGUUGCCAUAUUUUGAAAUGAAGGCAAAGUUCAAUCAAACAAUGGAGGAACAGAAAAGAGGAAUAAAAAUUCUAGAAGAAGAUGUCAGUUCAGCUAAAACCAUGUAUUCUGAAGCUUUACGGAAUCUGGAGACAAUCAGUGAUGAAAUCCACCAACAGAGAAUAGAGAAGAGGAGAAAUGAUGAACUUGGGGAAAGGGGGGCAGGGGUAGGGUCAGAGACCCCCUCCCCUCCCCCCUUCAGAGACUCUGGUCACAUUAAUGGUGAGGGACAGAAUGCUGGUGUGGAGACUGAGGAAUAUGUUCCCUCCUCGGUUAUUCAUCCAUCUGUUGAAAAGGCUCGAAACCCUAGUUAUUUGAAAGCGGUGGGUGAUUAUGGGGAAAAAGACGAAGAAUUUCCUGUGCCAAGUUUUGAGAGUGAAUACAAGUCUCUUCCAGAUCCCCACAAACCAGCUUUUAGAACUCGUAGUGCUCCGAUGGUUGAAGAUGAUGUGUUCUCCGAUGACCAGCGAGAGCGAAGCCAGUCAAUGAGACACUCCAAACCAAAUCCAGCUCAUCUGGAUCAGGGUCAGUCCAACUCUGACCCUUCCAGACUAAACAAGGCUGAAUCCAGAAAGAAACUCCAGGCAGGGGGGUUGAUUCUAAAAAUAGACUCCAACAUGGACCCCUUAGCUGGAAUGUAUAGUGCUCCAUUAAAACCGACUCGUUCAACCAGAUCUCAGGGCAAGAAUCGUAGCAGUAGGAAGUCCAAGAGUACCACUGGGUGGUCCCCUCAGUCGAGUGUACUAAGUGUUCCAAGCGGGGAGGAUGGGGAGAGCUCAGACUCGGAGAGCGUGAUCAGCACAGGACCAAUGUUGGAUGACGAACAAGUCCUGGCUCUCACUCUGGACUUUGAGAAGGUUUCCACAGACGAUGCCUCUCCACCAGCUAACCUUAACUGGCGUCGGAAAAGUCUACCCCCUAAUCUCAGUCACUUGGAACAAUUUUUACAUAAGUCUGUAGAUGAUGAAAAUGUGUAAGCAAUUAGUCUGUAAACUAUGAAGACUUGUAAACAUUUGUUCAUUUUUAUUAUUUUUAUUUGUAAUCAAACUGGUGCAUUUUCUUUGUUGAUCUUUGUUGUAAACUCAGUUUUCAUUCAUAGUAAUUUUUGUAGCAUGUAAGGCAAAUUUUGAACCUGUUGAAAAUGU